rnacentral:misc_RNA from 1 species
AACGCACCUUGCGCUCUAUGGUAUUCCGUAGAGCAUGCCUGUUUGAGUGUCAUGAAAACAAUCAACCUUGACUUUGGGUAACCCUGAAGGCUCGGCUUGGACUUGGGUGUUUGCUAGUGUCACAGCUUGCUCACCUUAAAUGUAUUAGCUGGAUUUGUCUAUUUGACUGGUUUGACUUGGCGUAAUAAGUAUUUCGCUAAGGACAUCUCUCGGGGUGGCCAGUUGAUUGACUGUAGUCUGCUUCUAACCUAUGCAUCUCUUCGGAGUCAUGACUUAACUAUUUGGCCUCAAAUCAGGUAGGACUACCCGCUGAACUUAA